ACGAACGCUGGCGGCGCGCUUAACACAUGCAAGUCGAACGAGAAGCUGUAGCAAUACAGUUGUACAGUGGCGAACGGGUGAGGAAUACAUGGGUAACCUACCCUCGAGUGGGGAAUAACCAGCCGAAAGGCUGGCUAAUACCGCGUACGCUUCCCAGUCUGCGGGUUGGGAAGGAAAGCUCUACCCGUGGGUAGAGCGCUCAAGGACGGGCUCAUGUCCUAUCAGCUUGUUGGUAGGGUAACGGCCUACCAAGGCAACGACGGGUAGCUGGUCUGAGAGGACGAUCAGCCACACUGGCACUGCGACACGGGCCAGACUCCUACGGGAGGCAGCAGUGAGGAAUAUUGCGCAAUGGGCGACAGCCUGACGCAGCGACGCCGCGUGGGGGA
rnacentral:rRNA from 1 species